GAGGCUUGUUGAGGCUACAGGGGAGUGGAGCUUGCUUUCCUAGCUUCAGGUAAGAUUCUGCCCAGUCUAAUGUUAUUUUCCCUCUGCAGGAACAUUAGAUAAGUUGAAGAAGGAAGAGAUGUCAAAGAAGUGAGAGAUUUAAAGGCUGAAGGACUCUUGAAUGGUCUGGGGUCCCAUUUCCCUUUAAGUUCCAAACAUAUAGGAAUUCUUUAUGUGUUUGAGAAUGUAAAAUGAGAAAAGUGCUGAAUGCCCUUUCCUUUUACCCACAGAACUUGAGAAAACUUCCAAGGUCAUAGACUGCCAAAAUUGUGCCCAGGGAAUGUCUGUUGCUACCUUCAAAAUGUAGCUCUGCAAAACAGUCAGGCUCACUAUGUUUCUCAUGCCCCAAGGAAUGAGACUGGCAUGCAGAGGAUCAGGGACCCAUGUGAGGGUAGAUUGACAUCUGUGCACAUGUCAAGAGUGGGGCAGAUAGACAAAUGUUCAGCUCUUGGCUCCUGUACUCAGCAAGCUGUAAAGCAGUGGCUUACGGAACAGCUGGGACUGCAGGUUCAGUCCUCACCCUUAUCCUGCCUCCAAGUGACUGACACAACCAUUGUUUAUUGGGUCACAUACCAGGGGCUGGGCUGGACCUGGUUCUUAGUGCUGCCAAUCACUACUUCUCACUCCAUAUGUGUAUCCAGCCACAUGGCCCAAGGACAACAUCAUCCGACAAACUAUUAAUCUCCUGAUUGUCACAAACCUGGGUGGUUACAUUCUCUACUUCUGUGCAACCCUCAACUGUUAUUUUGUCUAUGAUCAUUCUGUGAUGAAACACCCACAGUUUUUAAAGGCUGGAUUCAUCUCAUCUUUAGCGUGAUAUCCUUCCUCUUUUUUACAGACAUGUUGAUCUACUGGAUUCAUAGGGGCCUGCACCACAGACUGGUCUACAAGCACAUACAUAAACCUCAUCAUAUUUAGAAGAUAUCC
rnacentral:lncRNA from 1 species